CUGCCUGUGUACAUAAGCUCUGAAUCUCGUAGUCAUAUCUCAGUCGAGAAAAAAGGGUUGAGACGACGGACCUGAGCAGCGCCACCUACUGAAGAACAGAAUAAAGAUGAAAUCUCCUGUGAUACUCGUGGCAGUAGCAACCUUCUUCGUUGUCCUUUCAACGAUUGCGGCAGCACCCAAAAAGCCGAGAGAUGAUGUAUACGAUGUAAAAUUGUGUUUAGAACAAUGUAUGGUGUGUUUUGAUGGAAAGGACGAAAAAUACCUCAUGCCCUGCGCG
rnacentral:misc_RNA from 1 species